rnacentral:rRNA from 1 species
UCUAGCAGCCAUAUCACCCUGCAGCCCAAGACUGGUUGCCCCCUGAAGCUAAGUAGGGUUGAGCCUGGUCAGUACCUGGAUGGGAGACCUAAAACUAGGAAACUAGGUUGCUGUUGGAA